CUGGCGGCGUGCCUAACAAUGCAAGUCGAACGAGAAAGUGGAGCAAUCCAUGAGUAAAGUGGCGACCGGGUGAGUAACACGUGACUAACCUACCUCCGAGUGGGGAAUAACUCCGGGAAACCGGGGCUAAUACCGCAUAAUAUCGCGAGAUCAAAGCAGCAAUGCGCUUGGAGAGGGGGUCGCGGCUGAUUAGCUAGUUGGCGGGGUAACGGCCCACCAAGGCGAAGAUCGGUAUCCGGCCUGAGAGGGCGCACGGACACACUGGAACUGAAACACGGUCCAGACUCCUACGGGAGGCAGCAGUGGGGAAUUUUGCGCAAUGGGGGAAACCCUGACGCAGCAACGCCGCGUGGAGGAUGAAGCCCUUUGGGGCGUAAACUCCUUUCGACCAAGACGAUAAUGACGGUACUGGUGGAAGAAGCACCGGCUAACUCUGUGCCAGCAGCCGCGGUAAUACAGAGGGUGCAAGCGUUGUUCGGAAUUAUUGGGCGUAAAGGGCGCGUANGCGGUGCCACAAGUCACUUGUGAAAUCUCCGGGCUUAACUCGGAGUCUGCAGGCGAAACUGUGGUGCUGGAGUGUGG
rnacentral:rRNA from 1 species